ACUGUUAUUGUGCUUGGUUCUUGUGUUUUAAAGGAAAUAAUCAGAUCUGCCUAAUAAAUAUGAGAGUGAAUAUGAUGUCUUGAGUUACAGCAGCCAUGAGAAUUAGCUGGUAAGCAUGAAGACAGGAAGAAAUUGGAAGAAACACAAAGACCUUGAGCCACAACAUCAUCACCCAAUAGGAGAGGACAAUUAUAUUUUAUUUAAGGAAAAAGCAAAUAAAUAUCCUGCCAACCUAA